rnacentral:misc_RNA from 1 species
GGAAAAUGGCAGUUCAGGCACGAACGAGCGUUCACUUGCAAUCAAUUAUAUUACUCUCAUACCCGCCAUAUUUUAUCUCAAGGAAAUGCUUGGAUUUGGCUGUGGUACGUCAACUGAUCUCCAGAAUGAUUUCUUGCUUGUUCCAGUUUUCACUUAUCACUCCAAACAAUCAAAGGAACUAUGUAAUUGAAAUAGGACUGGAAACCAAAUAUUUU